GUGCUCGCUUCAGCAGCACAUAUACUAAAAUUGGAGUGAUACAGAGAAGAUUAGCACAGCCCCUGUGCAAGGGCGACACACAAAUUUGUGAAGCAUUCCACAUUUAA
rnacentral:snRNA from 1 species